AGGACGAACGCUGGCGGCGUGCUUAACACAUGCAAGUCGAACGGACUCUUCGGAGUUAGUGGCGGACGGGUGAGUAACACGUGGGAACGUGCCUUUAGGUUCGGAAUAGCUCCUGGAAACGGGUGGUAAUACCGAAUGUGCCCUUCGGGGGAAGGAUUUAUCGCCUUUAGAGCGGCCCGCGUCUGAUUAGCUUGUUGGUGAGGUAAUGGCUCACCAAGGCUACGAUCAGUAGCUGGUCUGAGAGGAUGACCAGCCACAUUGGGACUGAGACACGGCCCAAACUCCUACGGGAGCAGCAGUGGGGAAUCUUGCGCAAUGGGCGAAAGCCUGACGCAGCCAUGCCGCGUGUAUGAUGAAGGUCUUAGGAUUGUAAGAUUACUUUCACCGGUGAAGAUAAUGACUGUAGCCGGAAGAAGAACGCCCCGGACUAACGUUUGCGUCCAGCGAGCCGAC
rnacentral:rRNA from 1 species